ACAUAGCAGGUAGAUUGAUAUGAUCACUAAUAGCACAGGAAAACAAGACACAACGACCCUCAUCUUUGAGAUUUACAGCCCAAGCUGCACAAGUCUGGCUUUGCAAGCAGAAACUGGCAGGCCCGUUGAAUAGUGUUUCGCUCUUUUUUAUACUAACAAAUGAUAAACUGUACACAGAACAGUAUCACAAUAUUCAAGGGGAUGCAGACCCACAGAUGUGGUUGCACCUGGAAGAUCUUCUAUCUAGGCUGAGGUGGGCAGAUCCGAGCCCUCCAAUUUAUUGGAUGAUAAAUCCCUCCCCUCAAAAAAGAUAAGAGAAUUCCAAACAAAAUGGUCAAGGAUUGGAUGAAAGAACCGGAUGAGUACACCAGUAGCAGAGGAAAGAAUCUUUACAUCCAUUAGUUCCCUGAUGUACACAUUCCUCACGAGAAACAUUAGCUUGGAUCCUGUAUGCUUGACCCGGUCCAGUUGGGCAAUCUACCCAGAGUUGGGCAUAAGAAUGACCAA